AACGCAUCUUGCGCUCUCGGGUUAUUCCUGAGAGCAUGCUUGUUUGAGUAACUGUAAAGCUCAGCCCCGUUCUCGAGAUCUUGUAUCUUAGAAUUGUUUUUAUUGGGCUUGGAUCGUGAUGUGCUGUCUUUUCUUUUUUAGAAGGGACUACAUCGAAAGACAAGAAAGCUGAACUUGUGAAAAAGUUGUGGUGGAUGUGGCCGGCUUCGGCUAACUAUUGUUGUAACACUUCGGUCUCAAUAGUGUGGACAUGUUCUCCAACUCUUCUAAAGCUUUUUUCAAAUCAAAUCAAAGAGAAUCUUCUCUCUUUGACCAUUUUUUUUAAGCUUGUUCUCAAAUCAAGUAGGACUACCCGCUGAACUUAA
rnacentral:misc_RNA from 1 species